UUAAAUUGGUUAAUAAGUUUUUGGGUUAAUUUGCGAGGGAAACCAUUCCAAGACAUGAAAUUUUGGAUUUGUUUUAAUUCGUUGUUCAGGAGAGUGGCAUUACUGCAGAUUUUGUAGGCGCGAUUUACGAGAGCACGGAUCCAAGCAAUUUUUCUUGACCAGGGUGUGAAGCUUGAUAUAUGGGAGUAUUGACCAGUAUGAGUGGGCUUUCUAUAGACAGAAGUUCCAGAGGGGUGGAUGUGGAUGUCAAGGAAAUGGAUGUCAUUGUCGCUAAAUUCGUCAGCGGUGAAUUGUAAGUUAGGAUGGAAA